CGGGAAUAUUGCGCAAUGGGGGAAACCCUGACGCAGCCAUGCCGCGUGUGUGAAGAAGGCCCUAGGGUUGUAAAGCACUUUCAAUUGGGAGGAAAAGCUAAUGGUUAAUAACCAUUAGCCCUGACGUUACCUUUAGAAGAAGCACCGGCUAACUCCGUGCCAGCAGCCGCGGUAAUACGGAGGGUGCAAGCGUUAAUCGGAAUUACUGGGCGUAAAGCGCGCGUAGGCGGUUUUUUAAGUCGGAUGUGAAAGCCCCGGGCUCAACCUGGGAACUGCAUCCGAUACUGGAUGACUAGAAUGCGGGAGAGGGAGGUAGAAUUCCAUGUGUAGCAGUGAAAUGCGUAGAUAUAUGGAGGAAUACCAGUGGCGAAGGCGGCCUCCUGGCUCGACAUUGACGCUGAGGUGCGAAAGCGUGGGGAGCAAACGGG
rnacentral:rRNA from 1 species